GCCACGGUAGAUCAAUGGUAGAUCACAUCUAUGACAUAUUCUCUGUAAUAGGGUGUUUACGAUGAAAUGAUGGUUUGAAUCCAUGUCAUGGCA